UGGUAGCCUCGCAACAUUGUUCUAUGAAUCCCGCCAGGACCGGAAGGUAGCAACGGUAAUAGAUUCAUUGUGUGCCGAGGAUGUGC
rnacentral:SRP_RNA from 1 species